rnacentral:rRNA from 1 species
AUACGUAGGUGGCAAGCGUUGUCCGGAUUUAUUGGACGUAAAGCGAGCGCAGGUGGUUUCUUAAGUCUGAUGUGAAAGCCCACGGCUCAACCGUGGAAGGGUCAUUGGAAACUGGGGAACUUGAAUGCAGAAGAGGAGAGUGGAAUUCCAUGUGUAGCGGUGAAAUGCGUAGAUAUAUGGAGGAACACCAGUGGCGAAGGCGACUCUCUGGUCUGUUAUUGACACUGAGGCUCGAAAGCGUGGGGAGC